GUAAAGAAAGCAAGGUGUACUUGUUUGGAAUUCUUCGUGUUAGGUUUCUAAUUCAUGAAACAGAUGGUUCUGGUUUUCAAAUAACAGCUUCAAUCGAUGUAUGUUUAGAAAGUUCUCAGGCGUGUUUGUUCAGCGCAACUGUUCUAGAUAAUACUUAUCUACCAACGAAACCAUGCGAUCAUGGAACAGGGUUUCAGAUUUCAGAUUUUUCAUUUGAACGAUGGCUGAGAGAUAAUGGUUUUGAUUCAACAACUUCUGUGGCGGGCACCUCCUUGACACAGCUUAUGUCAAUAUAUGGGCUUGAAAACUAUCUUCUGUCUGAACAAUGCAGCCGUCUUGAUGACAUGUAUCAACCAUCACAAAAUGGAUUAAAAAUUAGUGAUUGUUCAAAUAUACUGUCGGAUGUUUCUUCUAGUAUCCCUGAAUGGGCAAACUGUGUAUUGUUAGACACAUGCUUAGGACUGCAAUGUUGUAUAGAAGCGCCGCAUUUGGAUAGAGCAUUUGAGUUCUUUUUCGAUAUUGACAUAUGCAAACACGUCAUAACGUUUCGAAUAGAAAAUUACACCUCUUCAUUUUUAUUCAGCGACAAUGAA